rnacentral:misc_RNA from 1 species
GAAAUGCGAUAAGUAGUGUGAAUUGCAGAAUUCAGUGAAUCAUCGAAUCUUUGAACGCACAUUGCGCCCCUUGGUAUUCCAUGGGGCAUGCCUGUUCGAGCGUCAUUUGUACCCUCAAGCUUUGCUUGGUGUUGGGUGAGCUUUGCCAUUGGCAAACUUGCCUCAAAACAAUUGGCAGCCGGCAAAUGGGCCUGAAGCGCAGCACAAUUUGCGCUCCUUGCCCGGAUUGUUGGCGUCCAUCAAGACCUUUUAAGCUCUUGACCUCGGAUCAGGUAGGGAUACCCGCUGAACUUAA